rnacentral:rRNA from 1 species
UACGGAGGGUGCGAGCGUUGUCCGGAAUCAUUGGGCGUAAAGGGCGCGUAGGUGGCGGGACAAGCGUGCGGUGAAAGCUCGGGGCUCAACCCCGCGUCGGCCGUGCGAACUGUUUUGCUUGAGCACUGUAGGGGCAGGCGGAAUUCCGGGUGUAGCGGUGGAAUGCGUAGAGAUCCGGAAGAACACCGGUGGCGAAGGCGGCCUGCUGGGCAGUAGCUGACACUGAGGCGCGACAGCGUGGGGAGCAAACAGG